CGCUGGCGGCAGGCCUAACACAUGCAAGUCGAACGGUAACAGGAAGCAGCUUGCUGUUUCGCUGACGAGUGGCGGACGGGUGAGUAAUGUCUGGGAAACUGCCUGAUGGAGGGGGAUAACUACUGGAAACGGUAGCUAAUACCGCAUAACGUCGCAAGACCAAAGAGGGGGACCUUCGGGCCUCUUGCCAUCGGAUGUGCCCAGAUGGGAUUAGCUAGUAGGUGGGGUAACGGCUCACCUAGGCGACGAUCCCUAGCUGGUCUGAGAGGAUGACCAGCCACACUGGAACUGAGACACGGUCCAGACUCCUACGGGAGGCAGCAGUGGGGAAUAUUGCACAAUGGGCGCAAGCCUGAUGCAGCCAUGCCGCGUGUAUGAAGAAGGCCUUCGGGUUGUAAAGUACUUUCAGCGGGGAGGAAGGGAGUAAAGUUAAUACCUUUGCUCAUUGACGUUACCCGCAGAAGAAGCACCGGCUAACUCCGUGCCAGCAGCCGCGGUAAUACGGAGGGUGCAAGCGUUAAUCGGAAUUACUGGGCGUAAAGCGCACGCAGGCGGUUUGUUAAGUCAGAUGUGAAAUCCCCGGGCUCAACCUGGGAACUGCAUCUGAUACUGGCAAGCUUGAGUCUCGUAGAGGGGGGUAGAAUUCCAGGUGUAGCGGUGAAAUGCGUAGAGAUCUGGAGGAAUACCGGUGGCGAAGGCGGCCCCCUGGACGAAGACUGACGCUCAGGUGCGAAAGCGUGGGGAGCAAACAGGAUUAGAUACCCUGGUAGUCCACGCCGUAAACGAUGUCGACUUGGAGGUUGUGCCCUUGAGGCGUGGCUUCCGGAGCUAACGCGUUAAGUCGACCGCCUGGGGAGUACGGCCGCAAGGUUAAAACUCAAAUGAAUUGACGGGGGCCCGCACAAGCGGUGGAGCAUGUGGUUUAAUUCGAUGCAACGCGAAGAACCUUACCUGGUCUUGACAUCCACGGAAGUUUUCAGAGAUGAGAAUGUGCCUUCGGGAACCGUGAGACAGGUGCUGCAUGGCUGUCGUCAGCUCGUGUUGUGAAAUGUUGGGUUAAGUCCCGCAACGAGCGCAACCCUUAUCCUUUGUUGCCAGCGGUCCGGCCGGGAACUCAAAGGAGACUGCCAGUGAUAAACUGGAGGAAGGUGGGGAUGACGUCAAGUCAUCAUGGCCCUUACGACCAGGGCUACACACGUGCUACAAUGGCGCAUACAAAGAGAAGCGACCUCGCGAGAGCAAGCGGACCUCAUAAAGUGCGUCGUAGUCCGGAUUGGAGUCUGCAACUCGACUCCAUGAAGUCGGAAUCGCUAGUAAUCGUGGAUCAGAAUGCCACGGUGAAUACGUUCCCGGGCCUUGUACACACCGCCCGUCACACCAUGGGAGUGGGUUGCAAAAGAAGUAGGUAGCUUAACCUUCGGGAGGGCGCUUACCACUUUGUGAUUCAUGACUGGGGUGAAGUCGUAACAAGGUAACCGUAGGGGAACCUGCGGUUGGAUCACCUCCUUACCUUAAAGAAGC
rnacentral:rRNA from 1 species